rnacentral:rRNA from 2 species
GGAACUGUGAGACAGGUGCUGCAUGGCUGUCGUCAGCUCGUGUUGUGAAAUGUUGGGUUAAGUCCCGCAACGAGCGCAACCCUUAUCCUUUGUUGCCAGCGGUCCGGCCGGGAACUCAAAGGAGACUGCCAGUGAUAAACUGGAGGAAGGUGGGGAUGACGUCAAGUCAUCAUGGCCCUUACGACCAGGGCUACACACGUGCUACAAU